CGCUGCUCCCUGUGGAGCCGUCCGCCCUCACAUCCAGGCCGGCCUUGCCCCUCUCGUAACCUUACCUAGGUGUCAAAUUAGUUCCCGCCGGGUGACGUGGCGCUUGCUGCGAGAGCCGCCGCCCCUGGCCGGGCCCCGCACUCCCUCCCGACUCCCGGCGAGGCCUCCGGCGCGGGUCUGCUGAGGACGCGGUUCUCAGCUGUGAUGCGAGUAUUUCAGACAAACUUCUGAGCUAGAACUACGGAGAGCUGAAGAAGGUUAUCACUAAAUACUGGAACAAGAAAUGAGUUCACCACCACGGUGGCAACUUGGACAAAGGCAGGCCUGUAGGACUGUGACUGACAUGGUAUCUCGCAGUGUAGAGAAAAAGCCCUGCGUCCAACAGCAUCAGAAACAUCCUUCUUUGUGGAUUACACCAAUCUGGGAAUGCUCGUGCUGAAAAUGAUGGAAAGAGAGUUUUCUAUUCUGCCCCGCUCCCCGAAACAGUAGCUGGAGAAACUGCCUAAGAGAGCAAAGAGGACUUAAUUCUCUCCCGGAUCCAAGGUUAAGAUGGCCUUCUUCUUCACCGAGUUUGCAAAGGUAGUUUUGUAAAUUUUGUCUAAGACCAAACUAUAAAAGAUUGUUGACUAGGGAAAUUUAAUCAGAAUACACAGUAUGCCAGUGGGAGAGGAUGAGGGAGGGAGCAAGGUUUAUGACAGUGCCUGUAAAGUUUUAUUAAAAACUGACUGGUUUAGCCCAGCCUACUAACCCUGUGACUCAGCGGUUGAG